ncrna:unclassified sequences Staphylococcus-1 RNA
UCGAUGAAACUGAUAACUUUCUAUGAAAGCUGACUAGUUAAUCUUCUGCAACGCUAUUAUGAGGAUUGCCCUUUGAGGCUGAUAGCAAUAGGUCGCCCUAUGGCUGGUCACAUGAUUUUGUUGA